AAGUCGUAACAAGGUUUCCGUAGGUGAACCUGCGGAAGGAUCAUUAGAUUGAAUUAUCAUUGUUGCUCGAGUUCUUGUUUAGAUCUUUUACAAUAAUGUGUAUCUUUACUGAAGAUGUGCGCUUAAUUGCGCUGCUUCUUUAGAGUGUCGCAGUGAAAGUAGUCUUGCUUGAAUCUCAGUCAACGCUACACACAUUGGAGUUUUUUACUUUAAUUUAAUUCUUUCUGCUUUGAAUCGAAAGGUUCAAGGCAAAAAACAAACACAAACAAUUUUAUUUUAUUAUAAUUUUUUAAACUAAACCAAAAUUCCUAACGGAAAUUUUAAAAUAAUUUAAAACUUUCAACAACGGAUCUCUUGGUUCUC
rnacentral:misc_RNA from 1 species